AUGAACGCUGGCGGCGUGCUUAACACAUGCAAGUCGAACGAACCUUCGGGUUAGUGGCGGACGGGUGAGUAACGCGUGAGAAUCUGCCCUCAGGAGGGGGAUAACGGCUGGAAACGGCCGCUAAUACCCCAUAUGCCGAGAGGUGAAAUGAAUUUCGCCUGAGGAUGAGCUCGCGUCUGAUUAGCUUGUUGGUGGGGUAAUGGCCUACCAAGGCGACGAUCAGUAGCUGGUCUGAGAGGAUGAUCAGCCACACUGGGACUGAGACACGGCCCAGACUCCUACGGGAGGCAGCAGUGGGGAAUUUUCCGCAAUGGGCGAAAGCCUGACGGAGCAACGCCGCGUGAGGGAUGAAGGCCUCUGGGCUGUAAACCUCUUUUAUCAAGGAAGAAGAUCUGACGGUACUUGAUGAAUAAGCCACGGCUAAUUCCGUGCCAGCAGCCGCGGUAAUACGGGAGUGGCAAGCGUUAUCCGGAAUUAUUGGGCGUAAAGCGUCCGCAGGCGGCCUGACAAGUCUGCUGUUAAAGCGUGGAGCUUAACUCCAUUUCAGCAGUGGAAACUGUCAGGCUUGAGUGUGGUAGGGGCAGAGGGAAUUCCCGGUGUAGCGGUGAAUGCGUAGAUAUCGGGAAGAACACCAGUGGCGAAAGCGCUCUGCUGGGCCAUCACUGACGCUCAUGGACGAAAGCCAGGGGAGCGAAAGGGAUUAGAUACCCCUGUAGUCCUGGCCGUAAACGAUGAACACUAGGUGUCGGGGGAAUCGACCCCUCCGGUGUCGUAGUCAACGCGUUAAGUGUUCCGCCUGGGGAGUACGCACGCAAGUGUGAAACUCAAAGGAAUUGACGGGGGCCCGCACAAGCGGUGGAGUAUGUGGUUUAAUUCGAUGCAACGCGAAGAACCUUACCAGGGCUUGACAUCCUGCGAACCUCUGGGAAACCGGAGGGUGCCUUCGGGAACGCAGUGACAGGUGGUGCAUGGCUGUCGUCAGCUCGUGUCGUGAGAUGUUGGGUUAAGUCCCGCAACGAGCGCAACCCACGUCUUUAGUUGCCAGCAUUUAGUUGGGCACUCUAGAGAGACCGCCGGUGACAAACCGGAGGAAGGUGUGGAUGACGUCAAGUCAUCAUGCCCCUUACGUCCUGGGCUACACACGUACUACAAUGCUACGGACAAAGAGCAGCUAACUCGCGAGAGUACGCAAAUCUCAUAAACCGUGGCUCAGUUCAGAUCGUAGGCUGCAACUCGCCUACGUGAAGGAGGAAUCGCUAGUAAUCGCAGGUCAGCAUACUGCGGUGAAUACGUUCCCGGGCCUUGUACACACCGCCCGUCACACCAUGGAAGUUGGCCACGCCCGAAGUCGUUACUCCAACCCUCUGGGAGGAGGACGCCGAAGGUGGGGCUGAUGACUGGGGUGA
rnacentral:rRNA from 1 species